rnacentral:rRNA from 1 species
UAGGGAAUCUUCCGCAAUGGGCGAACGCCUGACGGAGCAACGCCGCGUGAGUGAUGAAGGUUUUCGGAUCGUAAAACUCUGUUAUUAGGGAAGAACAAAUGUGUAAGUAACUAUGCACGUCUUGACGGUACCUAAUCAGAAAGCCACGGCUAACUACGUGCCAGCAGCCGCGGUAAUACGUAGGUGGCAAGCGUUAUCCGGAAUUAUUGGGCGUAAAGCGCGCGUAGGCGGUUUUUUAAGUCUGAUGUGAAAGCCCACGGCUCAACCGUGGAGGGUCAUUGGAAACUGGAAAACUUGAGUGCAGAAGAGGAAAGUGGAAUUCCAUGUGUAGCGGUGAAAUGCGCAGAGAUAUGGAGGAACACCAGUUGCGAAGGCGACUUUCUGGUCUGUAACUGACGCUGAUGUGCGAAAGCGUGGGGAUCAAACAGG